rnacentral:rRNA from 1 species
AGUGAACGCUGGCGGUAGGCCUAACACAUGCAAGUCGAACGGCAGCACAGUAAGAGCUUGCUCUUACGGGUGGCGAGUGGCGGACGGGUGAGGAAUACAUCGGAAUCUACUUUUUCGUGGGGGAUAACGUAGGGAAACUUACGCUAAUACCGCAUACGACCUACGGGUGAAAGCAGGGGAUCUUCGGACCUUGCGCGAUUGAAUGAGCCGAUGUCGGAUUAGCUAGUUGGCGGGGUAAAGGCCCACCAAGGCGACGAUCCGUAGCUGGUCUGAGAAGAUGAUCAGCCACACUGGAACUGAGACACGGUCCAGACUCCUACGGGAGGCAGCAGUGGGGAAUAUUGGACAAUGGGCGCAAGCCUGAUCCAGCCAUACCGCGUGGGUGAAGAAGGCCUUCGGGUUGUAAAGCCCUUUUGUUGGGAAAGAAAAGCAGCAGGUUAAUACCCCGCUGUUCCGACGGUACCCAAAGAAUAAGCACCGGCUAACUUCGUG